rnacentral:rRNA from 1 species
AGUCGAGCGGAGAUGAGGUGCUUGCACCUUAUCUUAGCGGCGGACAGGUGAGUAAUGCUUAGGAAUCUGCCUAUUAGUGGGGGACAACAUUCCGAAAGGAAUGCUAAUACCGCAUACGUCCUACGGGAGAAAGCAGGGGAUCUUCGGACCUUGCGCUAAUAGAUGAGCCUAAGUCGGAUUAGCUAGUUGGUGGGGUAAAGGCCUACCAAGGCGACGAUCUGUAGCGGGUCUGAGAGGAUGAUCCGCCACACUGGGACUGAGACACGGCCCAGACUCCUACGGGAGGCAGCAGUGGGGAAUAUUGGACAAUGGGGGGAACCCUGAUCCAGCCAUGCCGCGUGUGUGAAGAAGGCCUUAUGGUUGUAAAGCACUUUAAGCGAGGAGGAGGCUACUGAGACUAAUACUCUUGGAUAGUGGACGUUACUCGCAGAAUAAGCACCGGCUAACUCUGUGCCAGCAGCCGCGGUAAUACAGAGGGUGCGAGCGUUAAUCGGAUUUACUGGGCGUAAAGCGUGCGUAGGCGGCUUUUUAAGUCGGAUGUGAAAUCCCCGAGCUUAACUUGGGAAUUGCAUUCGAUACUGGGAAGCUAGAGUAUGGGAGAGGAUGGUAGAAUUCCAGGUGUAGCGGUGAAAUGCGUAGAGAUCUGGAGGAAUACCGAUGGCGAAGGCAGCCAUCUGGCCUAAUACUGACGCUGAGGUACGAAAGCAUGGGGAGCAAACAGGAUUAGAUACCCUGGUAGUCCAUGCCGUAAACGAUGUCUACUAGCCCGUUGGGGCCUUUGAGGCUUUAGUGGCGCAGCUAACGCGAUAAGUAGACCGCCCUGGGGGAGUACGUCGCAGACUAAAACUCAAAUGAAUUGACGGGGCCC